rnacentral:lncRNA from 1 species
GUUCCAUCUCAGAUUCGGCAGAACCAGAGAACAUUCUUGGCCUCAGUGGCAAGUUUCAUGCGCGUCCAUGUGAAGAGACCACCAAACAGACUUUGUGUGAGCAAUAAAGCUUUUAAUCACCUGGGUGCAGGUGGGCUGAGUCCGAAAAGAGUCAGCGAAGGGAGAUGGGGUGGGGCCGUUUUAUAGGAUUUGGGAAGGUAAUGGAAAAUUACAGUCAAAGGGGGUUGUUCUCUGGUGGGCAGGGGUGGGGGUCACAAGGUGCUCAGUGGGGGAGCUUCUGAGCCAGGAGAAGGAAAUUCACAGGGUUAAUCACUCAGUUAAGGUGGGGCAGGAACAAAUCACAAUGGUGGAAUGUCAUCAGUUAAGGUGGGGCAGGUCCUUUUCACUUCUUUUGUGAUUCUUCAGUUACUUCAGACCAUCUGGGCAUAUACAUGCAAGUCACAGGGGAUGCGAUGGCUUGGCCUGGAAGCCAGGAUUGACUUGAUAUCUAAAUCAAAAGACUCAUUUUGGGUCAUCAUAGGUUAGUUCCUUUCCCUGCCUGCAGCAUUCCUGUCUGAAGUCUAGGCGUUUACUACAGCCCACUUCACUGGUCUUUCCCAACUUUCAGCACUCCAUCUGUACUCUGGAGGGUUCAAAGAUGUGAUUUUGCAGCAAAGUUCUCCCCACCCCAGCCAGAAAUUUGCUGCCUCAAAUGAGCUGCUAAAGGUGGAUUUCCUGUUUUCUAAGCUUCCACAUCACAGUGAAUGUAACUGAACAAGGGAUAUUGUGGAUUUUCUCUUGGGCCCUCCCCACUGAUUACAGAACCGUG